rnacentral:tRNA from 1 species
AUUACUUUGGCAGAUUAGUGCGUUGAAUUUAGAAUUCAAUAAUGUGAAUUUUUUUACAUGUAAUA